AGGGUCUUCUAGGCCCGACCUCCCACCCUUUGUUUACCCGACCCAUGUUGCUUCGGCGGGCCCGCCGUUUCGACGGCCGCCGGAGGACCGCCUAUUCAGGUCCUCUGGCCCGCGCCCGCCGGUAGCCAAUUCUACCAAACUCUUGAAUCAAAUCGUGUCCAAUGUCUGAGUAUAUUACAAAAUAAAAGCAAAACUUUCAACAACGGAUCUCUUGGUUCUGGCAUCGAUGAAGAACGCAGCGAAAUGCGAUAAGUAAUGCGAAUUGCAGAAUUCCAGUGAGUCAUCGAAUCUUUGAACGCACAUUGCGCCCUUUGGUAUUCCGAAGGGCAUGCCUGUUCGAGCGUCAUUAUCACCCCUCAAGCCCCCCGGCUUGGUGUUGGACGGUCUGGUCGAGCGUUUCCGCGCGACCCCUCCCAAAGACAAUGACGGCGGCCUGGUUGGACCCCCGGUACACGGAGCUUCUUCACUGAGCACGUAUCGGUUUCAAGGUGUCCCCGGGACCCGGUCGACCUCUCUUGCUCCCCUGCGGGAGUGGAGAGAACCCCCCUUUUUAUCAAGGUUGACCUCGGAUCAGGUAGGAAUACCCGCUGAACUUAAGCAUAUCAAAAACGGAGGAAAUGUUUGGCUCCCGCCACCCCACCUUGUAUUCAACAGAUUCUUCCCGGGCGCGUUUAGAGCGGAGACCAAUAGUCCGGCGCGCGGGA
rnacentral:rRNA from 1 species